rnacentral:tRNA from 1 species
GCCUUUAUGUUAUAAUUGGAAGUAUGUUUAAUUGGCAAUCAUAAAGUCAAGUUUGAAUCCUGCUAAGGGCA